GGAGAGGUGGCCGAGCGGCCGAAGGCAGGCGCCUGCUAAGCGUCUGAGGGGAAACUCUCCGAGGGUUCGAAUCCCUCCCUCUCCG
rnacentral:tRNA from 1 species